rnacentral:rRNA from 1 species
GUCUACGGCCAUACCACCCUGAACACGCCCGAUCUCGUCUGAUCUCGGAAGCUAAGCAGGGUCGGGCCUGGUUAGUACUUGGAUGGGAGAAAUAGGAAAAAAUAAAAUAACCUGAUAAUUUAGAAA